AAUGGGCGACAAAAAGCGACAAAUGGGCGACGUAAAUGCGACAAAUGGGCGACAAAAGGGCAACGAAAAGGCGACAAAUGGGCGACAAAUGGGCGACAAAUGGGCGACUAAAGGGCAACGAAAAGGCGACAAAAGGGCGACUAAAGGGCAACAAAUGGGUGACAAAUGGGCGACAAAUGGGCGACGAAAAGG